UACGUAGGGGGCAAGCGUUGUCCGGAAUUAUUGGGCGUAAAGAGCGCGUAGGCGGUCCGAUAAGUCGGCUGUGAAAGUCAGGGGCUCAACCCUUGAAAGCCGGCCGAUACUGUCGGACUAGAGUCCGGAAGAGGCAAGUGGAAUUCCCGGUGUAGCGGUGAAAUGCGCAGAUAUCGGGAAGAACACCUGUGGCGAAGGCGGCUCUCUGGGACGGUACUGACGCUGAGGAGCGAAAGCGUGGGGAGCGAACAGG
rnacentral:rRNA from 1 species